AGCAGUUGUAAUUCAGGUGUUCCUUCCCUGGCAUUGGAUGGUCUGGAGAUUUCUGCUCUUGGGUUUCUGCUCCUGAGAAAAGACAUGAAAAUUUUAGGGACACAGGGAGGAAGGCCAUGUGAAGAUGAAAGCGGAGAUUGGAGUUAUGCAGCCACAAACCAAGGAAUAUGAGGAGCCAGCAGAAACUGAACAGGGCAAGGAAGAAUCCACUUCUAGAGCCACUGGAGGGAGUGUAGCCCUACCUAUACCUUGAUUUUUAACCUUUGGCCAUCAGAACUAUGAGAAAAUAAAUUUCUGUUCUUUUAAGCCACUGAUUUUGUGGUAAUUUUGUUGUUGUUUUGAGACAGGGUCUCAUUCUAUUACCCAGGCUGGAGUGUAGUAGCACAAUCAUGGCUCACUGCAGCCU
rnacentral:lncRNA from 1 species